GGAGAGACAACUGCAGAGCCAUUUGCAGCUGGCUGGCAGGCUGGAGAGAAACAUCCUGAAUAUCUACAGUUGAGGCAGGAAAGCCACCUCAUCUUCAAACGACCUGCUAGAAAAUACAGCUGACCAGAGAAUUAAAUCUGCCCAGCACUGAUGCAACAGAACCUGAAGACUGUAAGGGGAGCAAGGCACCAGGUGUUUUUCUAGAAGCUUCCAGCUUGAGCUCUCUGUUCUUAAGGGCAAUAUUAAAUAGCAGAUCUGCUGUGGAAUGCAGUUUAUCCUCCUGCUGCAGUCAAAUGAAGGAAAUUUGGGAGCUCCAGAACCUGCCUGGGAAGAUAAGGCUCAUAGAAACAAAAGCUUUAAGAGUUCUCUGGCUGCUAUUUUGCUCAAAAGUAAAAAGCCUAUUAAUUUAUUAUUAGAACAAUCUCCUUAAUCAAAAUGCUGAUUCAGCUUGUUAUUUAUUAGAGGAUUCUGAUGAAGACUGUGAAAAUCAGGAAAGCAGCCAGAACAUCAAUCAACUCCAUUUUGCACUAAACUAAAGAACACCUGGUGCUUUGCAACUUUGUCCUUUGGCAAUCUGGAAAGCCAAUUUUCAGCACCUAAACUGGUAUGUUGGUCACCAGCACAAGCUAUGUUAGUUUACCUUUGUUUUUCUUUACUCUGUGCUUUGAAAAC